rnacentral:rRNA from 1 species
CGGUCCUAAGGUAGCGAAAUUCCUUGUCGGGUAAGUUCCGACCUGCACGAAUGGCAUAACGAUGGCCACACUGUCUCCUCCCGAGACUCAGUGAAGUUGAAAUGUUUGUGAUGAUGCAAUCUACCCGCGGCUAGACGGUAAGACCCCAUGAACCUUUACUGCAGCUUUGCAUUGAACUGUGAACCGAUUUGUGUAGGAUAGGUGGGAGGCAGAGAAGAGGCCACGCCAGUGGUCUUGGAGCCGACCUUGAAAUACCACCCUGAUUUGUUUGCGGUUCUAACCACGGACAGUGAUCCUGUCUUGGGACCGUGCAUGGUAGGCAGUUUGACUGGGGCGGUCUCCUCCUAAAGGGUAACGGAGGAGUACGAAGGUACGCUAGGUACGGUCGGAAAUCGUGCUGAUAGUGCAAUGGCAAAAGCGUGCUUGACUGCGAGAGCAACAACUCGAGCAGAUGCGAAAGCAGGUCAUAGUGAUCCGGUGGCUCUGAAUGGAAGGGCCAUCGCUCAACGGAUAAAAGGUACUCUGGGGAUAACAGGCUGAUACCGCCCAAGAGUUCAUAUCGACGGCGGUGUUUGGCACCUCGAUGUCGGCUCAUCUCAUCCUGGGGCUGUAGUCGGUCCCAAGGGUAUGGCUGUUCGCCAUUUAAAGAGGUACGUGAGCUGGGUUUAAAACGUCGUGAGACAGUUUGGUCCCUAUCUGCCGUGGGCGUUGGAAGAUUGACGGGGGCUGCUCCUAGUACGAGAGGACCGGAGUGGACGCACCUCUGGUGUACCGGUUGUCACGCCAGUGGCAUUGCCGGGUAGCUAAGUGCGGAAGAGAUAACCGCUGAAAGCAUCUAAGCGGGAAACUUGCCUGAAGAUGAGUCUUCCCGGAGGUUGAACCUCCCUCAAGAGUCGUCCGAGACCAGGACGUCGAUAGGUCAGGUGUGUAAGCGCUGUAAGGCGUUGAGCUAACUGAUACUAAUUGCUCGUGAGGCUUGAUCCU